rnacentral:lncRNA from 1 species
GCAUGAGCUACCAUACCUGGCCUCAAUUUCACAUUUAAUAGCAAAGUCAGCUAUAAGAAAAAGUCAUAUUUGUGAUCAUGUUCAUCAAUAGAAGAUUGAUUGGAGUCUGGGCAUGGUGGCUCAGGCCUGUAAUCCCAGCACUUUGGGAAGACAAGGCGGGAGGAUCACUUGAGCCAGGGAAUUUGGGACUGCAGUGAACUAUGAUUAUGCUGCUACGCUCCAGCCUGGGUAACAGACCAAGACCCAAUCUCAAAAAAAAAGAAAAUGAUUGGAGUAAGCCAAACUUAGUGCCAUUCACACAUCGCUAAAUUUCAGAACUCCUGGGCACAGUGGCUCCCAGCACUUUGGGAGGCUUAGGUGGGAGGAUUGCUUGAAGCCAGGAGUUCAAGACCAGCCUGCAUGACAUAGCGAGACCCCAUCUCUACAAAACAUUUUUUUAAAAAAUAAAGUUUAGAACUCAUUGCAGAACAUCCCAUGCAGUAGGAUUCCAUGGAAUUUCUCCCCCAAACACACGCCUUUGUUUUUGUUUUUUGAUAGAUAGUGUCUUGCUAUGUUGCCCAGGCUGGAGUGCAGUGGCUAUUAAUACGUGUGACCAUAGCACACUACAGCCUUGACCUCCUGGGCCCAAGUGAUCCUCCUCCUGCCCCAGCCUUCUGGGUAGCUAGGACUGCAGGUAUGUGACAACAGUGCCCAGCUCCAAGGACUUUCUUUAGAGUACCCAUGACUGUGUGUGUGUCACAGGGUUCCCCUGGAGUGGGGAGUGGUGUUGGGGCUCCAGGCUCCCCUCCUUGACUUUAAACUAGAGCUCUCCACUUUUGACUUGUGCAGUGCUUCACACAUAAGCUUUCAUUGAAGAAAAUGGUUCUACUUUCAUUUGAAAACCAUGGACCUGUGGGAAGACGUCUAACCUCCCAACACAGCCUUUAUGUUCUUCCCAAAUGUAUAUUCCUCUGACCUUUCAAACUUUGUCUUCUAUUAAUAAAUUAUUGCUCUAGACCACCCCCCGGCCUUUCCCCAACACCCCAACACAUUCCUGUCUCCAAACCUCUGCUUGGCCUUUUCCUUCUGUCUAGCAGGUCUUUCUUUCCAAAUUUGCCUAAUUUCCACCCUUCCUCCAAAGCCGAAUUCAAUCCCAUCUUCAGACAUCCUUCCCGGCUCCCCUCUUGGAAUUCUCUCUUCUCCUUAUGAUGCGUGUGCAUUUAUUACAGCACCCAGGGUUGGGAUGACACUUUCUAACCAGAUGGCAAGGUCUCAGAAGCAGGCCUUCUGUGUCCCCCUCCCAAGGCCACGUGUUUUACGUAGGACAGACGUGUGCUGACCUGCUCUGAAAGCAGUUUCCCAGAGAAGGCCAGGAGCCCUUAUAACCUGAGACUUAGACAAGUGCCUCUGCAGGGACUCACUCCGUAAUCUUCUGCAUUCUGCCUUCUCCCAAUAACCUUGAUGGCCUUGAUCCUAGAUCCUAUCUUGAGUGCUCUCCCUCUAUUGGGAGCUAUUUCCAAUACCGUCACUGAGCACACCCACUUGACUAAUACUGGAAUUCAGCAGUCUUCACGCAGAGCCAAGCCGUUCAGACAGGGAGGAGAGAAGCAGGGCCUGGGGCGGUCAGCAGGGCUGGACUCCACCUACCUUGGCCGUGCCUGGGUGAGGGCUUAGGUCCAGCCAGCCUGUCUGACCCAGAAAGCCCUGGGUUUCUGGGCUUGUCCUCCACACAAGUUCUUGCCCUUCAAAGAUUCCAGACUGACUGAGUUAUUGCUCAUCUAAAGUCAAUGCAGUGGGACAUCUCCCUAGGGCUCCCAUCUCCUGAGAACCAGAUUUAGAGGGGGCUUGGGAGGGGCCUGUGUCUUCCUCCUUGCCAAGAGGUAUUUGUCUGGCAGCGUUCAGAGAGGGUAAGAUGGGAGGAAGCUGGUUUGAGGGGUGCUGGGAAUUGACAGCACAUCUCAGCAGGAGGUGUCAAACAGACGUUUUGGGGGUUCGGGAGUGGCACAUGUUAAAGCCACUUCCCACACAUAGGAGUUCUAGCUCCCCCAAUCUCCCCCAAACUAUGGAGAGAGGCAAUAAAGCAAGGUUGGCUCCGGCCUCAUGGGAAAUUGAGGAAUCAGGAAUCCUGAAUACCAUGGGGCAUGUGCUGCUGAAGGAAGCCCUCCAAUCCCAUGCCCAGAGGGAGCACAGGGCAGACCAUUUGCGUGAGCGGUGUGCCCAUUCUUUGACAUGAAAAGCUUCUGAAACCUGAGGCCCUCGUGCACACACACACUCUUGACAGCAACAUGCACCUUGCAUAGACACAGGUGCCAAGAUGGGCCACACCAGCAUGUGGCCUAGACAGGCACCCAGCAGACAACAGCCUGGUCAUGGGCCAGGGUCACAUGCCCCAAAGAAGGCAAGAAACACAAUGACCAGAAUGAGGCUGAGAGUGGAGCUAGAAUCUAGUUAGAAAAUUGCUGUGAGCACUGGGGAGGAGCAGGGGCUGUAACAGUGUCCAGUAUUGAGGGGCUUAGCGGGAGGUGGGGGGUGUAAGGAGAUGCAAAGUGCUUGGCCUGUGGUAGGGCCCAAAAUGUUACUCUUCUCCUUCCCUCCACUGUAGGAUGCAGGCUCCUCCCUGGAUAAUUAAGUCUCCAAGCCCCACCUGACUUCUCCAAAUAAUGAGGCUGCCCCACUGCCCAGCACUGGCCAGCAUGGAGCUCAGCUCACAUUUGCUAAUGGGGAUUCUAUGUCAGCAGGUGCAUUGGGCAGGGGUGCCUAGCAUGCCUCAGGGAUCUAUCCUGGGUCCCCUCCUCUUCAGCACUCUCAGCCCAGCUUUGGGGGCACUCUCAGGCAACACAGAGUUCUUUACAAGCUGGAACCAUGGGUCCAACCUAACCAGAUGAAAUUGCAUGGGGAAAAAUAUACAAGCCAGGACUCAGGUUUAAAACAUUACCCGUCCAGGGAUAAGUUAGGGAGGACCAGGUAACAACAGUUCGUCAGAAAGACUUGGGAGUUUGUCACCUACAAGCUUAAGAUGAGUCACGGGAGUGACGUGGCCAGCCGAAGGGCCACUGUUACCUUCAUCUAGGUGAACAGAGGCUUGUAAGUGGGCAGCUGACACCAGCCCAGUUUGGUUGGUCUGGACAAGGAUGACCACUUUGUUGAGGGGCUUGGAAAACCCUGCCCAUAGAGGAAAUUUUCAGGUACUAGGGGUGUAGUGUCUGGGACAGAGAAGACUUGAGUCCCUGAGGGCUGAUGUCAAGGCUUGGAAAGAAGCUCCAUGGGCAAGAGGGCAGCAAUGGACUCUUGCUAUGAGCUUCCAGGGGGCAGUCUAGAAGGACUGGGCAGAAGCUGAGGGGGUAGCGUUUCAGUCAAAGGAGGGAGAACUUUCUAACAGACAGAACUGUCCAGCAAUGAGAUGGUACCUUUAGGAAGGAGAGGAACGUUUGAGCCCAAGUGUGUGGGAAGAGAUUCCUGCCCUGGGAAGAAGGAGGCUGGACUCUGCCUUCAAAUGCCCCUCGCUCCCACUCCCAGAUUCUCUGUCUGUCCUGCCCUGCCUGGGGCUGAGCUGGUUCUCAGCAUGAUCUCCGUCUAGCUCAGUAGCCGGAGACUUGGUAUUUCUAGUCCAUUCUGCCGCCAGUGAAUGCCCCAGCCUGACCUUGCUUCUCAGCCCCAAGGAGGGGGCAGGGCUGCCUGCAUGCGUGGCUUACUCAGGCCGAACCCCAGGACUCCAAGGCCUGAGUCAUGCUGGCCGCGGGAGGUGUCUGCACACAGACGCCAGUCAUUGCUCUGGCCAGGGGGGAGCACACAAGCUCCAUAUCCUUUUAUGUCCCUGUGUGGAUAUUCCCAGCCGAGAGUCAGGAGCUGUGAGUGGGGCUGGCCAGGGUAUCUGUCAUUCCAGCCUUCAGUGGCUUAAGGGGUGCAGGGGUCUGGAGAAAUGAGACUGGGCUGUGGGUGAGGGUGUAGGUCUGUACCCCUUACCCCGUCUUUCUUCAGGAGGCCCACAGCCCCUAAAGACCAUCUGAGACUCUGGCUUGCCAUUUGUCACAUCUCCCUUGCCGCACCCACAGCCUUCAGGGACAAGUCUGUGAGACUCCUCUUUCAUCUCUACCCACGGGUUUUGGCCAUCAGAAGCAGGUACUGUGCUGGAUGUGGUGUUAGGGGGAGAGUUUAAGCUACUCCAAGCCUCUGCAGCAAGUCUUUAGGCUUAAGGGAGCCCCACCUGGCACCCCAGCGUCUCUUUGCCCUUUGGAUACAGAGUCACACAGUCCAAGAUGCAGGCAGACAGGCCUCCCAGGUCCACAUAUGCGGCCACUGUUUCUGCCGUUCUGCUAGAGGAGUGGGAUCAGCUGCAGCCUGCGUCCCUGGGGAAAGCAAGAGUUCCUGACGGAGACUCUGCAGUUUGUAUGCCCGAACCCAUAUUCACUUUGACCCUGACCCAUCCUCAGCUUGGCCUUGGGGCUCUCCCUCAUCUCUGACCCUUCCAACUACACCCCAGUUGGGCCUCCUCUGCUGGGGUUCCUCUGGGACUUUUGACCUGGUUGCGGGGGGCGGGUGGAGAACCUCCCUUUCCCCUAGAUGAAGCCCAGAAACAGCCUGAGCUGGUUUUGGUUCCUCUUCUUCACACCUACAUGAUGAAAUGAGAUGGUCCACGUGGACGGGCUGUGUCGCCUGUGAUGCUCUGGUCACACUGAAGUCAUGAUGUGUGGUAAUUGUCUAUGGAGAGGGGUCAUAGAAAGCCAGGCUCUGGGGCUUGGACCAGCUUCACCGUGCGCUAUAGCAGCUUCCCCUCCCGGCUGGUGUGCAGGGUGGGGCUGGAGGUAUAGUUUAUGACCAGCCUCUGUGGAUGCCCCAGCCCAGGCCCUGGUUCUGUUGGAAGGAGGCUCUCAGAUCGAGGGUCGCAUAGACAGGGUCUGCUCUAGGUCUGCCAGGAUCGGCCUUUCCAGCAGGAUGGGUCCCUGGCAUACCCACCCCAGGACCUGGAAUCUUCUUGUUCCUGGUUCUUAGCCAUCUAAUUUUUGUUCUAUUUGGACCUUUCAUUGAUGAGAAUUAGCAGCCCGUCCCCACCCCCCAGCCCCUGCCUUAAAGAAGUGGACAUUUUAAGCGGCUCGAGUUGGUCUUCGAGUUCAAGAGGACAAAUGGAAUACAGAAUGACGAACCUGGCUUAUGGCCAGGAGCCCCCAGUUCCUUUUUUUUUUUUUUUUCUGGCAAGUUUGUGUAACCAAAAGGCCCCAGUUCUUAGCUCAACAUGAGAGUGUAAAACCCAGCGUUCAAGGAAUGUGAACCAAUACCUGGUAUGGGCAAGGACAAGGAGGAGAAUAGGAAGCAGAAGGAAUAGAAGGACCCAGACUAACUCCAGAGGAAAAUGGUGAGCUAAGACCUUUACUGCAUCACAAAUCAAUAAAUACUUAUUGAGAAGCUGCUACAUGCAAGAUUCUCCUGCCUGUACCACUACGCCCGAGGUUUUUGUACUGUGACACUGAGGGACAGUCUGCCAAGCUGCUCACGGCCCUUCAGUGAGUGGGUGGGGGCGGAGGAGAGGGUCUGUGUUCUGAGGGGACAUUGGCCCUGGAGACAGGGUGUGUAGGAGAUUCGUGAAGGGGGAACGAGGCACUGGUGGCUGGCUGAAGAGCUCCAGAGCCCAGAUGGUCCUAGGACUCCUGGGCUCCUGGCUAGACCCUGAGUGAGGGAUCCAGAUAUUGGAAUGCCUGGCUGAGGAUCACUCAUUUGAGGUGUGACAUGAAGAAAGUCACUGGGUCCCUUUCCCCCAGAUGUAGGUUUUCUUGGGACAUGCCCUGCUGCCCCUGCCCCCUGCCCCCACCUGUCCCUAGUAGGUCACUCAGUGAGGUGAGGCGUGCAGUUAGGGGAAACUCUUAAGGUUUCUCAGAAGCUGGGACCCGCCGGGUCUCCAGUUGGUUACUAAGAUGUCCAACUGGGUCAGGGCUCGUGGUCAGUUUGAAGCUGCAGGCAGAGGAAGACGCCCAGUAACCUAAUCAGGCGAGGCCAGCGGCUGUGACCGGGGGCCAGGGUGGGAGCACAUUGCCCCUUUGGGGCCGCGGGUUUUUAGUCUGAUUUGGGGUAUUGCCCAGACUCUGUGAUUAGACUCAGGGCAGCUUCAUGGGCUUGCAACUGGGGCAGUCACACGGGGGCCUGCACCCAGCAGGACCCCCCACGAGGUUUAGUGCUCUGCUGUUGCCUUCUUAUUUAUAAUAAUUUUUCAACAAGGGGCCCCAUGUUUUCAUUUUGCAUUGGGUCCCACAAAUUAUGUAGCAGGUCCUGGUUAGAUGAAUGGUCCGGCUCUGAUUCCACCUACGGUUUGGAUCCGAGGGGCCAGGCUUUGGGUAGUCAGCCCUUCUGCCCACUUUCUCCCCGUGUCCUACUUACACUUCCCAGCCUUGGGAUCUGGGCAAGCGAGAGGCGGGCUUCUCUGAGCAAGUCUGGGAACAUGGUUGGUGGAACUACAAAGUCCACUCCACAAAGUCCACUCCAGCCGGGGGAGCAGGAGGGAGUCAGACAAUAUCUUAGGGUAAGUUUGGGACAGGAGAGUUGGUAGGAGCCAGGGUUUGGCUCCUUCAUGAUCUAACCCAGAGUGCAGCCCCGAAACAAGUCCUCUCUCCAGGGGGAGAAAAGACAGUGAAGAAGUUUCCAAGAAACCCUUACAACCAGCCUCUGCCGUCGGCUCACAAGGAACCCUGUGUUUCUCUGGUUGAGCUGCUCCACACACACACACAUCUUCUGGGAGCCCAGUGACAACCAAGUCAACUGCACCACUACGCUUCACUGGAGAGACUUGAGUGGUGGCAGCGUAGUGCUGGAGACCAUUUUCUUAGCCCACCCAAGAAACCUUUCCAAGAAUACCUUAUCUCUAGAGAUUCUACAACAGGUUCCAAGACAUUUGUCAGAUUAACAGUUUUCUCACCCUGCUCCCUGACUCCAGCCUGCUGGGAUCCUCUUCCUUGCUACCAUCUGGUCUCACAUUCCCUCAGUUUAGCACAUAAUUGUUGCCUAAUAGCUUCCAGUGAGUGAUUUUUUUCUCUGGCCAGAGCAGAAGCUAUUUGAGGGCAAAGACCAGGUCCUCAACUUCUCCACCCAACACAGAAUGUAGUGCCCUGAUGACAUAAUCAUAUGGCCAGAGACGAACAGCUAUGCAUUCAUUGACUGAUUAGCAAUGCCAGCCUCCUUACGGUAAGAAAACCUCCAAAGUACUUUCCUGUCUAGUUCCAUAUUCCGACCCUAAGAGAAAAGGAGAGAAAGAAUGGAGAGGUGAAGUAUCCUGUUCCCAGUCACAUAGCAACUCAGAGGAGGAUG